rnacentral:rRNA from 1 species
CGCAGACGGGUGAGUAACACGUGGGUGACCUACCUCGAGGUGGGGGAUACCCGGGAAACUCGGGCUAAUACCGCAUAACAUCGUGAGAUCAAAGCGGCCCGCAAGGGUCGCGCCGUGAGAGGGGCCCGCGUCUGAUUAGCUAGUUGGUGAGGUAACGGCUCACCAAGGCGACGAUCAGUAGCCGGCCUGAGAGGGCGAUCGGCCACACUGGAACUGAGACACGGUCCAGACUCCUACGGGAGGCAGCAGUGGGGAAUUUUGCGCAAUGGGGGAAACCCUGACGCAGCAACGCCGCGUGGAGGAUGAAGGUCCUUGGAUUGUAAACUCCUGUCAGCAGGGAAGAACUCCUUACGGUGAAUAACCGUAAGGAUUGACGGUACCUGCAGAGGAAGCCCCGGCUAACUCUGUCCAGCAGCCGCGGUAAUACAGAGGGGGCAAGCGUUAUUCGGAAUUAUUGGGCGUAAAGGGCGCGUAGGCGGCUUCGCAAGUGGUGGGUGAAAUCCCUCGGCUUAACCGAGGAACUGCCCUCCAAACUGCGUUGCUGGAGUCCCGAGAGGAGAAUUGAAUUCCCAGGCUGCGGUAGAAGUCGUAGACAUUGUUCAGAACACACAGUGGCGAAUCGCCCUCUCAGACCGGAUACUGAUGCGUGAGCCUUGGUGAGCCGUUACCUCACCAACUAGUUAAUCAGACGCGGGCCCCUCUCACGGCGCGACCCUUGCGGGCCGCUUUGAUCUCACGAUGUUAUGCGGUAUUAGCCCGAGUUUCCCCGGGUUAUCCCCCACCUCGAGGUAGGUCACCCACGUGUUACUCACCCGUCUGCCGCUCGACUCAGGUAU